GCACACCUUGUAGUAGUCUGAUUCGUGGUCUAUGGGAAGGUGAAUUUCUUUAUCAGGUUUAAUUUAUUGUUGAGCUCAAUAUUCUGUUAAAUUUUUUAAAACUGACUGUGUGUGUGUUUGUAAUGGACGGAGUGCGUAAAAGGUUCGUGUGGACGGCGUGUCAAGCAACCACCCUUGAUUCUCACGGACGUCUGGAACUGCGCGAAAACUGGUGGCCCAAUAAGUACUAAACGCCUCUGCAUCGCAAGAGAUCACGAGAUACCGGUUGGCUUGCCACAAUUCCCGAUCUUCAAUGGCUUGAAUAAAAAUCCGCAGGGACAUCGUCUCUCCAAGGAAUACGUAAACUGUAAAACCAGAAAAAGAAAAAGGCCACGUAGCAACAAGGUUGUCGAAGAGCGCAACACAACCUGUUAUCGUCAAAAUGAAUUUUGUGAUGGACAGUUAUGUUGUAUCCAGAAAUUCCCUCUUUAUUUCCUAUUCUUCUUUCGAAAGAGUCCGCUAUCGCAUGCCAUUUCGACGUGUUUUGAACUACCAAGGAAAUGCUAUUCCAGUCGUAGUGUUGCAACAGCAUUAGCAUGGACUCGACCAUCUAUAAAUAAAUGUUACCCAAUAAAUUCGGGUUUUGUAACCGACGUAUAUUGAUUAUACCUGUGAAUCAGGGGGACGGGUGCGUAGGAAUGCUGGGAAGAGUUCUUUGUUGGACAAUUUUUCGUCUCCACAGACCUGAGUCGUUAUACGAAAAGCUGCAGAUGUCAUUAUGUCCAAAUACUGUUACCACUCCUGACUGCAACAUCUCUUCUAGCGCAACUGUAACAGAUUGGUUAACUUUAACUUGCUUGAAUGUUAUCGCCAGUUGGAGGGUUUUCGAUAACUGUUGAUUGGCUUCAUUUACGGCCAUUUGUAGAGCGCUAUAAAUGUCUUUCUCUGUUCGAAACGCAAGGUGAUCUUGAGGAGAAGACAGAAAUCCGAUUGGAAGAUUUAUGCCGGACACUUUAACCGGAACCAGACAAAGAAGGAACACAAUCAAGAAAACUAGUUGGACGAGAAGAAAUUGAUGAGCUUUCCAUGGCGAGAACAGGUCUGGUUUCUUCUCCAUACUUUACAGUUACCGCGGACUCGAUUUUUUUAAAUUAUUCAGCUUCACCUAUUUUCACAAAUUAAGAUUUACUGCGACAUCCACAGAAAAUUGUUAUUUAAUAUUACCACGAGCCCGCUUGUCAAAAGAUCAAGAUUAUUCCGACAUUUCCGAGAAAUUGUGCAUCGGACCUUAUGGACGUGUUAAGCUGUCAAAUAAACAGACAUAUGAAUGACAAA